ACGGCUCAGUAACACGUGGACAACCUACCCUAUGGAGGGGGAUAACCCCGGGAAACUGGGGAUAAUACCCCAUAGACUAUGGAAGCUGGAAUGCUCUGUAGUUGAAAGGUCCGCCGCCAUAGGAUGGGUCUGCGGCCGAUUAGGUUGUUGUUGGGGUAACGGCCCAACAAGCCUGUAAUCGGUACGGGUUGUGGGAGCAAGAGCCCGGAGAUGGAUUCUGAGACACGAAUCCAGGCCCUACGGGGCGCAGCAGGCGCGAAAACUUUGCAAUGCGGGAAACCGUGACAAGGGAACUCUGAGUGCCCGUAAAAUCGGGCUGUCCAUCAGUUUAAAAAACUGGUGAAGAAAGGGCCGGGCAAGACCGGUGCCAGCCGCCGCGGUAAUACCGGCGGCUCGAGUGGUGGCCACUAUUACUGGGCUUAAAGCGUUCGUAGCUGGUUUGUUAAGUCUCUGGGGAAAUCUUCCGGCUCAACCGGAAGGCGUCUCAGGGAUACUGGCAGACUAGGGACCGGAAGAGGUGAGAGGUACUCCAGGGGUAGGAGUGAAAUCCUGUAAUCCUUGGGGGACCACCUGUGGCGAAGGCGUCUCACCAGGACGGCUCCGACAGUGAGGGACGAAAGCUGGGGGAGUAAACCGGAUUAGAUACCCGGGUAGUCCCAGCCGUAAACGAUGUGCGUUAGGUGUAUCGGUGACCACGAGUCACCGAGGUGCCGAAGAGAAAUCGUGAAACGUACCGCCUGGGAAGUACGGUCGCAAGGCUGAAACUUAAAGGAAUUGGCGGGGGGAGCAC
rnacentral:rRNA from 1 species